rnacentral:hammerhead_ribozyme from 1 species
AUCCAGCUGAGAAGUCCCAAAUAAGACGAAAUACGUGUCUAAUUGGAU